rnacentral:misc_RNA from 1 species
GGAGUAAAAGUCGUAACAAGGUUCCCGUAGGCGAACCUGCGGAAGGAUCAUUACCGAGCGAGGGCCCUCUGGGUCCAACCUCCCACCCGUGUCUCUUGCACCUCGUUGCUUCGGCGGGCCCGCCUCACGGCCGCCGGGGGGCAUCUCGCCCCCGGGCCCGCGCCCGCCGAAGACACCCACGAACUCUGUCUGAAGAAUGCAGUCUGAGUGAAAUGAUAAAUUAUUUAAAACUUUCAACAACGGAUCUCUUGGUUCCG